UACAGAGGGUGCAAGCGUUGUUCGGAAUCAUUGGGCGUAAAGGGCGUGUAGGCGGUUUGUUAAGUCAUGUGUGAAAUCCCUCGGCUCAACCGGGGAACGACGCAUGAAACUGACAAGCUAGAGUACCAAAGAGGGGGGUGGAAUUCCCGGUGUAGCGGUGAAAUGCGUAGAGAUCGGGAGGAACACCGGUGGAGAAGGCGGGUCUCUGGGCAUCUCCUGACGCUGAGGCGCGAAAGCGUGGGGAGCAAACGGG
rnacentral:rRNA from 1 species